rnacentral:rRNA from 1 species
CAGCAGUCGGGAAUAUUGCGCAAUGGAGGAAACUCUGACGCAGUGACGCCGCGUGCAGGAAGAAGGUUUUCGGAUUGUAAACUGCUUUAGACAGGGAAGAAAAAAGACAGUACCUGUAGAAUAAGCUCCGGCUAACUACGUGCCAGCAGCCGCGGUAAUACGUAGGGAGCAAGCGUUAUCCGGAUUUAUUGGGUGUAAAGGGUGCGUAGACGGGAAAACAAGUUAGUUGUGAAAUCCCUCGGCUUAACUGAGGAACUGCAACUAAAACUAUUUUUCUUGAGUGCUGGAGAGGAAAGUGGAAUUCCUAGUGUAGCGGUGAAAUGCGUAGAUAUUAGGAGGAACACCAGUGGCGAAGGCGACUUUCUGGACAGUAACUGACGUUGAGGCACGAAAGUGUGGGGAGCAAACAGGAUUAGA